rnacentral:rRNA from 1 species
AUGAACGCUGGCGGCGUGCCUAAUACAUGCAAGUCGAGCGAACAGAUGAGGAGCUUGCUCCUCUGACGUUAGCGGCGGACGGGUGAGUAACACGUGGAUAACCUACCUAUAAGACUGGGAUAACUUCGGGAAACCGGAGCUAAUACCGGAUAAUAUAUUGAACCGCAUGGUUCAAUAGUGAAAGACGGUUUUGCUGUCACUUAUAGAUGGAUCCGCGCCGCAUUAGCUAGUUGGUAAGGUAACGGCUUACCAAGGCAACGAUGCGUAGCCGACCUGAGAGGGUGAUCGGCCACACUGGAACUGAGACACGAUCCAGACUCCUACGGGAGGCAGCAGUAGGGAAUCUUCCGCAAAGGGCGAAAGCCUGACGGAGCAACGCCGCGUGAGUGAUGAAGGUCUUCGGAUCGUAAAACUCUGUUAUUAGGGAAGAACAAAUGUGUAAGUAACUAUGCACGUCUUGACGGUACCUAAUCAGAAAGCCACGGCUAACUACGUG